rnacentral:lncRNA from 1 species
AUGCCAGCAGCAUCUAUUUGUUGGGUUAUUUAUGUAAGCAUUUAUGACAAUGACCUAUCUGUGACCUACAGACUUGAAAUACCAAGUCAGAGCUCAACUAUCUGGGGGGGGAGGUUUAAAAAAUGCCUCCUCAGUCACUCCAAGAGAAAAUCAAUCUUGCCUGUAUUAUGUUCCCUAGGAGAAUUGGAAAUGGCGUUCAUCAGAGGAGUCUCUUCCCUCAAUUCCAGGGGGAUUUCAGGUUUCCUAUUCAUACUUAAACAUUGCGUCUCUGGUAAUAGCUGUUGUAAAAGAGAGAGCUCCUUUCUUCUGGAUAACAGGCGGCUCGUCUUCAAAGGCUCCUGUGUGCUAAAAGUUCCCAUUAUACCUGAACAGAGGAGUUGUCGAUUUUGUAUCCCUUCUUGUCUGGCCGAGGGCUGCUCCUUGACAUAGCCAAGAAUAGAAAUGGGGAGAAGAGAAGCAAGCUGAAGUUGCCUGGUCGGCGUCAAGGUGGCGCGAACUUCCCAGCAUCAAACGCGAACCUUUCCUGUCUGUGGAGCAGCAGCGUUCGCAAACUCUGCUUUGCCCCCCAAAAAUCUUUCUGGCAGUUACUGAGGACGCCUGAACUUUGUCUCCUAGGCCAGCCUGUCCUGGGGGUUGGGGAGCUGGGGAGUGUCCAGGGGAGGUUGCUGUCAAGCUGGAACCCAACACCUUUUCCCUUGCUCCCCUCUCUAAAACGAAGCCCCACUUAAUCUGCAUGCCUUCUCUGUGACUGGCUAAUUACAGGAAGCCCUGGCUGCGCUGAACUGAAAAGAAGGAAUUCGGAAAGAAGACUUACUAUUUGCCCCUUUUUAUAGCCUGGCUCUGGGCCCCCCUGCUGGCUUCUGUUGUCCUAUUUGUGCUGUUUCCCUAAUGCAGCCCUCUCCCAUCCCCCUCCCCCAAUCCUGCCCAGCGCCCCUGUUAUCCCCCACCCCACCAUCCCCUGGUCAGAUGAAUGCCAGGCCCCUAACAGGCAGCCUUCUGUGGGUUGCUGGAAUUCUUUUCUUUUUCUUUAGGCAGAGGGGGAAAAAAUCUAUUCUACUCUUGCUUUUGCUUUGCUCUUUUAUUUUGUACUAUUUUUUGGGGGAAUGGGGGUAGAAAAACCUCUUGGUAGGUUGCAGCCUCUGGUUUCUUGCUCCCUUUCAUAGAGGACUCUCGCUGCCUGGUUACACCUGCUAAUGAUGGAGGCAGCAGAGCAUAGAAUCCCAGAGAGACUGUUGGACUUAGGCAUACAGACAGACCCCAACUUCCGUGAUACAACUUAGGAGGCUUUGCCUUGGUGAUGAUGCACAUUCAGUCGGAACUGUCCUUAGAGUUGGGAAUUUGAGCCUUUUCCCUCGCUCGUGUUCCUUUCUCCCGAAGCUGGGUAGCAGCAGCCACAGCUCCCAGCAGGGCCCCGCGAAGACUGAGCAACUCACACUCUGCAGGGUGCUGUGUGGCAGAGCUGUGAUGUGCGGUGGAUUUGGUGGACUUAAUGCAUUUUUUACUUCCCCACAUUUUCAAUUUACUGUGGGUUUACUGGAGUGGAACUCAGUUGUACAGUCGAGGAGCGUCAGUAUAUAAGAAUAAAAACAGACUGCAGCAGCCCUGGAAUUUUCUU